GAAUAUUGGACAAUGGGCGAAAGCCUGAUCCAGCCAUGCCGCGUGAGUGAUGAAGGCCCUAGGGUUGUAAAACUCUUUCAACGGUGAAGAUAAUGACGGUAACCGUAGAAGAAGCCCCGGCUACCUUCGUGCCAGCAGCCGCGGUAAUACGCAGGGGGCUAGCGUUGUUCGGAUUUACUGGGCGUAAAGGGCGCGUAGGCGGCCACCGCAAGUCGACUGUGAAAUCUCCGGGCUUAACCCGGAAAGGUCAGCCGAUACUGCGGGGCUAGAGUGCAGAAGGGGCAACUGGAAUUCUCGGUGUAGCGGUGAAAUGCGUAGAUAUCGAGAGGAACACCUGCGGCGAAGGCGGGUUGCUGGGCUGACACUGACGCUGAGGCGCGAAAGCUAGGGGAGCGAACGGG
rnacentral:rRNA from 1 species